rnacentral:tRNA from 1 species
CUGGCGUACCAAGUGGCACCGGAGUCUCUGUGGCGCAAUCGGUUAGCGCGUUCGGCUGUUAACCGAAAGGUUGGUGGUUCGAGCCCACCCAGGGACGGUCCCGUCUUUUGCGGGCUUGUCGCCGGUACUUUUGCACAAUUCUUGGAGUUCAGACCUACAGACGACUCGGAGGUGGAUAUCCGGGGGUCGAGGGAAAAGAAACCGCCCAACUCGCUUCGCCGCCCACCCUGCGUGCGGCUCUUCAGCUUCCGGGAGCGCUGGCGGCCCCUCCCCCAGCCGUCCCCUGCUGGAGACGGGCAGGUGGGCUCUUCCUGCCCUUCCCCGGGGUCGGCGGGAGGGUCCAGCGCCUUAAAGCCCGCGCGUACUUUCACUUGCGAUCUCCCGGUUCCCAAACUCAGGCCGCUGGGUGCCCAAAGGAGCCCUCGUCCUCCUCGCUCAUUUCCUGAAGCUCAGGCCGCACAAGUCCCUUCCCUGCCUCGCCAGGCUCCCGCGGGCUCCGAGCGGACCGACAGACUCUGGCGGCGAGCGCCGAGAGCGCGCAGAGCCCGGGCGGGCCCCUCAGCCGCGCGCGCGCGCGGCCGCGUCCGGGGCUCGAACCCGCCUCCGCAGCUCCGAGCGGCCCCGGAGGCCCCGGCGGCGGGAGCGCGGCCCGAGCUGCUCUCGUUCUGCUUCAGGACCCCUGAAAUGUCAGAGGUCGCGUGCAUGUGUACAUGUGAAUUAGGGCUCACAUUUAGUGAGUGUUCAGUCCUGGCCAGUCACUGCUCUGAGUGCUUUCAUGGAAGAAAGUGCGAUCCUUACAACAACCCUUCCAGGUAGGUCCUACUGUUGCCACUGUACAGAUGAGCUACCCGAAGCAAGGUGCAGCGGGCCGAUUUGCCUGAAUCUGUACUGUAUCACUAGCGUGGUACAGAUUUGAACCCAGGCAGUCAGGCUCCAGAGCCCAUGCUCCUCACUGUUGUACUAUACUUCUCCUUCUGACUUAGAGCUCCUUGAUUAAUUAGUUAAUUUAAAACCAAAGGUGAUAUUUUUAAUGAAUUUUUGUGAAGUUUCAUUAACAUUUUGUUCCAGAGUUCAUGAAGGAAAAAAGAAACCCAUCGAACAUUCAUGGAAUACUAAAGGGCAUUGUUAAAUUGCACAUUCAUUGUGCUGCUUCGUUUUAUUGAAAUGAAAACUGGGUAGGAACAUGAAAUCUUAAUGUGAAAUGGAUCUUUGGGAAACAAUUUGAUAGCAUUUCCUUGGCGAAGGCCAGAUUAGAAACAAAGGCAGGCUGGAAUAGCCCAGGCAAAAUAGGGAAGAAAGAUAGAAAGAACAGAUUCGAGCAUGGGGGCUAAUGUAGAGCCUAAGGACUCUUGGACUGAUGUUUGGCCUUUGGGAUACACCCAUACAGACCCCGAUUUCGGGACACUUUGGGGAGAUAGCACCACGGUUUGCCCAGGACAGGUGCCUAGGCGGCCGUUUUAAAUUUGAUCCUAAAAUUUUUUCCGUAUGUUCAAUCUCAUCCUAUGUCGGGGAUUAAUAGGAUUUAGAGGCCGGAAAGUAAAGAGGAGGGAUUAAAUGAGAAUGGAGGCGGGGCAAGGAGUGCAAAACUGCCCUCUAAGGUAAGUAGUUGAUUUUAUUAUGCAGGCAAGUGCUUAGUGCAUUUCCUUGUACUCGCUGUUGCAUACAGAGAAGACAGGUGGGAAGCCUUUUAGAAAAAUCGCUUAAAUAUUUAUGGAGAAAUUGGCUUUGUAAAAUUUCAGUGUGUACUACUUAUAGAUGUUGCAAUUCAUGCUACUUCUGGGGAGCGUUACUUGGUUUUCAGUGUCUU